GAAGCAUUCCAAAGAGCCCUGAAAGAGAAUGCUGAGAGUUAAUCUGGUACCCUCCUUUGGAAACGUCCGGUGUCUGUCAGUUCUUCAGCUGUGCCCUAACACCUCCCAUUGCGCUGCCACACCAGGAUAGUAUUCCAAGCCCACACUGAGUUCUGGAAUGUUGUGGUGUUGGAAUCAGAUGUGACCACGUGGUCUUGGCUCCCCGCCUUGUGGGGGGUCAUGGUGGACCAGGCUGUUGGCCGUUGGUGAUGUCAUAAGCGUCUGGAAUGAGGGGAGGAGCGGUGCGUUCUGUAUUCCUUUGUGGGUGAGCUAGUGGUCGGAGUAGUUGGUUGAUUUGUUGCUCUUGUGCCUUUAGUGCCUUUAGUGCCUUUUUCUUCACAUCAUCGUGUGCAGCAGCUUGUAGCUUUUGCUCUCAUUACAUCUGAGCAAAGCGACAAGGAACUGCUGCAGAUAGCUUGAGGUGAUCUCACUGCCAGCUCUUCACACUUGCUGUGAUGGGCGUCGCGUGCAGUGGGAUCAGCCGUGAGCCUGAGGUGGCGGCGACGGAGGUACAGUAUGAAGCUCUGGCUGGUCUUUUUUCCCUGUGUUGAGC